rnacentral:rRNA from 1 species
UACGGAGGGGACUAGCGUUGUUCGGAAUUACUAGGCGUAAAGCGCACGUAGGCGGAUUUGUAAGUCAGGGGUGAAAUCCCGAGGCUCAACCUCGGAACUGCCUUUGAUACUGCAAAUCUCGAGUCCGGAAGAGGUGAGUGGAAUUCCUAGUGUAGAGGUGAAAUUCGUAGAUAUUAGGAAGAACACCAGUGGCGAAGGCGGCUCACUGGUCCGGUACUGACGCUGAGGUGCGAAAGCGUGGGGAGCAAACAGG